rnacentral:rRNA from 1 species
UACGUAGGGUGCGAGCGUUAAUCGGAAUUACUGGGCGUAAAGCGUGCGUAGGCGGUUCGUUAAGUUCGUUGUGAAAGCCCCGGGCUCAACCUGGGAAUGGCAAUGGAAACUGGCGGGCUGGAGUAUGGCAGAGGGGGGGUGGAAUUCCGCGUGUAGCAGUGAAAUGCGUAGAGAUGCGGAGGAACACCGAUGGCGAAGGCAGCCCCCUGGGCCGAAUACUGACGCUCAGGCACGAAAGCGUGGGGAGCAAACAGG